UACCAGACUCCUACGGGAGGCAGCAGUGGGGGAUAUUGCACAAUGGGGGAAACCCUGAUGCAGCGACGCCGCGUGAGUGAAGAAGUAUUUCGGUAUGUAAAGCUCUAUCAGCAGGGAAGAAGAUGACAGUACCUGAGUAAGAAGCCCCGGCUAACUACGUGCCAGCAGCCGCGGUAAUACGUAGGGGGCAAGCGUUAUCCGGAUUUACUGGGUGUAAAGGGAGCGUAGACGGCAUGGCAAGUCAGAUGUGAAAGCCCGGGGCUCAACCCCGGGACUGCAUUUGAAACUGUCAGGCUGGAGUGCAGGAGAGGUAAGUGGAAUUCCUGGUGUAGCGGUGAAAUGCGUAGAUAUACGGAGGAACACCAGUGGCGAAGGCGGAUUGCUGGACAGUAACUGACGCUGAGGCGCGAAAGCGUGGGGGGCAAACAGGAUUAGAUACCCUAGUA
rnacentral:rRNA from 1 species